AAAUUGAAGAGUUUGAUCAUGGCUCAGAUUGAACGCUGGCGGCAGGCCUAACACAUGCAAGUCGAACGGUAACAGGAAGCAGCUUGCUGCUUCGCUGACGAGUGGCGGACGGGUGAGUAAUGUCUGGGAAACUGCCUGAUGGAGGGGGAUAACUACUGGAAACGGUAGCUAAUACCGCAUAAUGUCGCAAGACCAAAGAGGGGGACCUUCGGGCCUCUUGCCAUCGGAUGUGCCCAGAUGGGAUUAGCUUGUUGGUGGGGUAACGGCUCACCAAGGCGACGAUCCCUAGCUGGUCUGAGAGGAUGACCAGCCACACUGGAACUGAGACACGGUCCAGACUCCUACGGGAGGCAGCAGUGGGGAAUAUUGCACAAUGGGCGCAAGCCUGAUGCAGCCAUGCCGCGUGUAUGAAGAAGGCCUUCGGGUUGUAAAGUACUUUCAGCGGGGAGGAAGGGAGUAAAGUUAAUACCUUUGCUCAUUGACGUUACCCGCAGAAGAAGCACCGGCUAACUCCGUGCCAGCAGCCGCGGUAAUACGGAGGGUGCAAGCGUUAAUCGGAAUUACUGGGCGUAAAGCGCACGCAGGCGGUUUGUUAAGUCAGAUGUGAAAUCCCCGGGC
rnacentral:rRNA from 1 species